rnacentral:rRNA from 1 species
GAUGAACGCUGACAGAAUGCUUAACACAUGCAAGUCAACUUGAAUUUGGGUUUUUAACUUAGGUUUGGGUGGCGGACGGGUGAGUAACGUGUAAAGAACUUGCCUCACAGCUAGGGACAACAUUUGGAAACGAAUGCUAAUACCUAAUAUUAUGAUAAUAGGGCAUCCUAUAAUUAUGAAAGCUAUAAGCGCUGUGAGAGAGCUUUGCGUCCCAUUAGCUAGUUGGAGAGGUAACGGCUCACCAAGGCGAUGAUGGGUAGCCGGCCUGAGAGGGUGAUCGGCCACACGGGGACUGAGACACGGCCCUUACUCCUACGGGAGGCAACAGUGGGGAAUAUUGGACAAUGGACCAAGAGUCUGAUCCAGCAAUUCUGUGUGCACGAUGAAGUUUUUCGGAAUGUAAAGUGCUUUCAGUUGGGAAGAAAGAAAUGACGGUACCAACAGAAGAAGUGACGGCUAAAUACGUG